GCGCUAAUGAGUUUUCUCGGGGAGUAUCGAAGUUCCUUGUUGUGGUCUCGUGGAGUUUUCCAAGUUCCUUUUUGUGGGGAAGGGUUUGGAGAAAAGGUUGUUGUGGUCCGAGCUUCCCUGCUGCAAAUCCCUCGGCUUCCGAGCUUCCCAGUUGCUACUCUCUCUCUCUACACAAUCUCUAUCUCUACACAAUCUCUCUCUCAAGUCUCCCUCCACUCUAUCUGUAUAAAUCUCUUCCCCAACCCAUAUCUCCAUCUCCCCCUCUCUCUCUCUUCUCCAACCCAAGUCUCUCUCUCUCUCCUACAAAAAAUCACCAAUCCAAAUCUCAUACUCUCUCUCUCUCUCUCCAAAUGACUUUCUCCUUUCUCACUUGCCUCUUCGCCGCUGAGUAUUUUCCUCCUAAUUUUCACUUCUUUUCCCCGGAUUAUUCUUCGUAUGCUUUGACCUGAAUCUUCAUCGAUCCUUUUGCCCGAAUUUUCCAUCAUUUGCAUCAAUAUCUGAGUUCUGUUGAAGAAAAGGGUUCUAUCACAUUCAUGCAAAUGCAUAUGCCAUGUCAAGAAGAUGUCUUGAUAGAAACUCAAGGAGAAUGGAUACCCGUUGUUCCUCGACCAUAUUUCUUUAAUGGCUUCCAUGGCAGGAAAAGGUCAGAGCGCAGGCAUCAUCUGUCUUCUCUUCCAAAUGACAACAAGGAUAACCCUAUGGUGCCUUCCUCGGAGAUGAAAAUUGAGCUGAAUCCAUUCUCUGCAAGUGAAAUCUCUCAGACUAAUUUAAAAAAGCAGAGAAAAACCCAAAUUCCUUUUUUUCAUGGGUUAUCCAAGUUACAGCACAAGAUAGACACAAAUAUAUUUGAAUUUUACUUGGAGACCUUAUGGAAGAAGCUUCCUGAAGAUAAGCAACGGUCUUGCACAUACCUGGACUGUUUAUGGUUUCAUUUGUAUGGGGUUGGUUCAUCAUCUACAAAGGUAUUGGACUGGGUUAGGAGGAAGCACAUAUUUUCUCGGAAGUAUGUGUUCGUUCCCAUUAUUCGUUGGAGACACUGGAGCCUUCUAAUUCUAUGCCAUUUAGGAGAAGAUUUGGAUUCAAAAGAAAGGACACCAUGCCUGCUACUGCUGGAUUCCCUAAGAAUGGCUGAACCAAGGCGGCUUGAACCAGAUAUUAGAAAAUUUGUUUGGGACAUCUAUAAGUCGGAAGGGGGGAAGGAGAGCAAAGAGAUAGUUUCACGAAUCCCACUUUUGGUGCCUAAAGUACCACAACAGAGAGAUGAAAAACAGUGUGGAAUGUUUGUUCUCCAAUUUAUAGACUUGUUUUUGCAGAAUGCUCCUGAAAAUUUCUGUCCUUUCAAAGGCUACCCUUACUUUCUCAAGGAAGAUUGGUUUGACCCAAAAGACAUCGAGAGCUUCUGCAAAGAUAUCCAUUCGUUCAGCUUGAGACGAUGGUACAAUGGUGAGUUGAACUUGAAAUUUCGACUUCCUGAGGACUCAUCAUCAAUAUUUGAUUAGCCAUGUGUAGCACCUCUUUUAGUGCCUGUAUGGAUCGAAGCCAACCAUCUUAUCCUAACAUUACACCUUUCUGGCUAUCAUGGGGAUAGAAGUGUCAACAUAUGUCGCAACAGUGGGAUAGUAACACUAUGAGAAGAUAGGUACACUAUGAGAAGAUAGGUGUUACUCUUAGGGCCUAUUUGAUAACUGGAAGCAAGUUCAAGCAAGUUCUUGUUAUCAAACAUGUCCUUAUAGACUUGGAAGGCAGCUCAUGAGGCAACCUUGGUGAGGCAAGAAUUAGGAGUACUCUUAGAGAACCGGAAGGGACACUUGCAUUCUUUUUCUUAGGACCUCUACAUGUGUGUUCAGCAAAUAAGGCAGAGGCAAGAGCCCUUCUUCGAGGCCUCACCCUCAUACCUACCAAUUGAAGGGGUCUCCAUGAAUAUCACUUGAUAGGCAAGGGGAAAGAGAUAGAUAUCUUGGAGAUUGUAUCUUGGAGAUUGAAUCCAUUUUUUGAUAAAAUCAAAGUCCUUCUCGAAUGGCAAUAUUUUUUUACUCAUUGCCACAGAGAGAGAGUAAUUCAAAUGCUGAUGCUCACGCCAGAGAGGGAGUAUCCCUACCAAAAGCAGGGAGUAUCCCUAACCCCUUUUUCCAUCAAUAGACUCUAGGUACCCUUUUCUCCUCCGUUGGUUUUUUUUAUGCCUUUAUCCCACUGUGUUUGAUCUUUGUCAUUAUGAAAGGAAUUUUAACAAGUUAACAAUAAAAUAAAUCAAUAUUAGGA